AAAUUGAAGAGUUUGAUCAUGGCUCAGAUUGAACGCUGGCGGCAGGCCUAACACAUGCAAGUCGAACGGUAGCACAGAGAGCUUGCUCUCGGGUGACGAGUGGCGGACGGGUGAGUAAUGUCUGGGAAACUGCCCGAUGGAGGGGGAUAACUACUGGAAACGGUAGCUAAUACCGCAUAACGUCGCAAGACCAAAGUGGGGGACCUUCGGGCCUCACACCAUCGGAUGUGCCCAGAUGGGAUUAGCUAGUAGGUGGGGUAACGGCUCACCUAGGCGACGAUCCCUAGCUGGUCUGAGAGGAUGACCAGCCACACUGGAACUGAGACACGGUCCAGACUCCUACGGGAGGCAGCAGUGGGGAAUAUUGCACAAUGGGCGCAAGCCUGAUGCAGCCAUGCCGCGUGUAUGAAGAAGGCCUUCGGGUUGUAAAGUACUUUCAGCGAGGAGGAAGGCGUUGUGGUUAAUAACCACAGCGAUUGACGUUACUCGCAGAAGAAGCACCGGCUAACUCCGUGCCAGCAGCCGCGGUAAUACGGAGGGUGCAAGCGUUAAUCGGAAUUACUGGGCGUAAAGCGCACGCAGGCGGUUUGUUAAGUCAGAUGUGAAAUCCCCGGGCUCAACCUGGGAACUGCAUUUGAAACUGGCAAGCUUGAGUCUCGUAGAGGGGGGUAGAAUUCCAGGUGUAGCGGUGAAAUGCGUAGAGAUCUGGAGGAAUACCGGUGGCGAAGGCGGCCCCCUGGACAAAGACUGACGCUCAGGUGCGAAAGCGUGGGGAGCAAACAGGAUUAGAUACCCUGGUAGUCCACGCCGUAAACGAUGUCUACUUGGAGGUUGUGCCCUUGAGGCGUGGCUUCCGGAGCUAACGCGUUAAGUAGACCGCCUGGGGAGUACGGCCGCAAGGUUAAAACUCAAAUGAAUUGACGGGGGCCCGCACAAGCGGUGGAGCAUGUGGUUUAAUUCGAUGCAACGCGAAGAACCUUACCUGGUCUUGACAUCCACGGAAGUUUUCAGAGAUGAGAAUGUGCCUUCGGGAACCGUGAGACAGGUGCUGCAUGGCUGUCGUCAGCUCGUGUUGUGAAAUGUUGGGUUAAGUCCCGCAACGAGCGCAACC
rnacentral:rRNA from 1 species